UUAAUUGAAACCAAAUUAGAGGUAUAUCACUGUUAAUGAUAUUAUUGAAUUAAAAUUCCAAUUAAA
rnacentral:tRNA from 1 species